rnacentral:rRNA from 1 species
GACGAACGCUGGCGGCGUGCCUAAUACAUGCAAGUCGAACGAACUCUGGUAUUGAUUGGUGCUUGCAUCAUGAUUUACAUUUGAGUGAGUGGCGAACUGGUGAGUAACACGUGGGAAACCUGCCCAGAAGCGGGGGAUAACACCUGGAAACAGAUGCUAAUACCGCAUAACAACUUGGACCGCAUGGUCCGAGUUUGAAAGAUGGCUUCGGCUAUCACUUUUGGAUGGUCCCGCGGCGUAUUAGCUAGAUGGUGAGGUAACGGCUCACCAUGGCAAUGAUACGUAGCCGACCUGAGAGGGUAAUCGGCCACAUUGGGACUGAGACACGGCCCAAACUCCUACGGGAGGCAGCAGUAGGGAAUCUUCCACAAUGGACGAAAGUCUGAUGGAGCAACGUCGCGUGAGUGAAGAAGGGUUUCGGCUCGUAAAACUCUGUUGUUAAAGAAGAACAUAUCUGAGAGUAACUGUUCAGGUAUUGACGGUAUUUAACCAGAAAGCCACGGCUAACUACGUGCCAGCAGCCGCGGUAAUACGUAGGUGGCAAGCGUUGUCCGGAUUUAUUGGGCGUAAAGCGAGCGCAGGCGGUUUUUUAAGUCUGAUGUGAAAGCCUUCGGCUCAACCGAAGAAGUGCAUCGGAAACUGGGAAACUUGAGUGCAGAAGAGGACAGUGGAACUCCAUGUGUAGCGGUGAAAUGCGUAGAUAUAUGGAAGAACACCAGUGGCGAAGGCGGCUGUCUGGUCUGUAACUGACGCUGAGGCUCGAAAGUAUGGGUAGCAAACAGGAUUAGAUACCCUGGUAGUCCAUACCGUAAACGAUGAAUGCUAAGUGUUGGAGGGUUUCCGCCCUUCAGUGCUGCAGCUAACGCAUUAAGCAUUCCGCCUGGGGAGUACGGCCGCAAGGCUGAAACUCAAAGGAAUUGACGGGGGCCCGCACAAGCGGUGGAGCAUGUGGUUUAAUUCGAAGCUACGCGAAGAACCUUACCAGGUCUUGACAUACUAUGCAAAUCUAAGAGAUUAGACGUUCCCUUCGGGGACAUGGAUACAGGUGGUGCAUGGUUGUCGUCAGCUCGUGUCGUGAGAUGUUGGGUUAAGUCCCGCAACGAGCGCAACCCUUAUUAUCAGUUGCCAGCAUUAAGUUGGGCACUCUGGUGAGACUGCCGGUGACAAACCGGAGGAAGGUGGGGAUGACGUCAAAUCAUCAUGCCCCUUAUGACCUGGGCUACACACGUGCUACAAUGGAUGGUACAACGAGUUGCGAACUCGCGAGAGUAAGCUAAUCUCUUAAAGCCAUUCUCAGUUCGGAUUGUAGGCUGCAACUCGCCUACAUGAAGUCGGAAUCGCUAGUAAUCGCGGAUCAGCAUGCCGCGGUGAAUACGUUCCCGGGCCUUGUACACACCGCCCGUCACACCAUGAGAGUUUGUAACACCCAAAGUCGGUGGGGUAACCUUUUAGGAACCAGCCGCCUAAGGUGGGACAGAUGAUUAGGGUG